rnacentral:rRNA from 2 species
GGGUUGUGAGGUUAAGCGACUAAGCGUACACGGUGGAUGCCUAGGCAAUCAG